AAAUAAUCACAUCUGUUUUUUUCAACAGCUAUGUGGGUUUAAGCUUGCUAGGCAUUACACACCUCUGAUGUAACGAUUUUAUUCACCGGAAAUACAGUGAAUGAAGUUAGGUUUCUAUCAAAUUAAAUCAUAAUUUCCCAGAUGUUUUAGCAAGUCAUAAAUUUGGAAUUGCUUCUGUUAAGAUAUGAAUAUCACGCGAAAAACAUAGACAACAUAGCAUUGCAUGCAUAAUUGCGUAGGUAUGACACAUGUCAUAUUAAGUGAUAUUAAGAACUUGUUAUCGUAAUAUCGUUGUUAGCUUAAAGGGGACCUUUUUACUUGAAGUACACUUAUCACAGUUUAUUUUGAGAGCUCAAAGGAAGAGACUGGUCGUGUCAUUAAUGAGAGACGUUGCAAAAUAAGUCUCUAGUUUGUUGUGUUUUCUGUUAAUUGUUAAAAAAAACAACUUGAAAACAUUUUUA